AUUGAACGCUGGCGGCAGGCCUAACACAUGCAAGUCGAGCGAGCGGCGGACGGGUGAGUAAUGUCUGGGAAACUGCCUGAUGGAGGGGGAUAACUACUGGAAACGGUAGCUAAUACCGCAUACAAUCAGAUGUGCCCAUAUUGGUUUAGCUAGUAGGUGGGGUAAUGGCUCACCUAGGCGACGAUCCCUAGCUGGUCUGAGAGGAUGACCAACCACACUGCAACUGAGACACGGUACAGACUCCUACGGGAGGCAGCAGUGGGGAAUAGUGCAAAAGGGGGGCAAGCAGGAUGCAGCCAUGCCGCGUGUGUGAAGAAGGCCUUCGGGUUGUAAAGCACUUGCAGCGGGGAGGCGGGAGCAGAAGAAGAAGCACCGGCUAACUCCGUGCCAGCAGCCGCGGUAAUAG
rnacentral:rRNA from 1 species